rnacentral:rRNA from 1 species
UACGUAGGGGGCUAGCGUUGUCCGGAUUUAUUGGGCGUAAAGAGCGUGUAGGCGGCCAGGCAGGUCUGGCGUGAAAACUCGAGGCUUAACCUCGAGAUGUCAUCGGAAACCAUCUGGCUAGAGUCCGGAAGAGGAGAGUGGAAUUCCUGGUGUAGCGGUGAAAUGCGCAGAUAUCAGGAGGAACACCGAUUGCGAAGGCAGCUCGCUGGGACGUUACUGACGCUGAGACGCGAAAGCGUGGGGAGCAAACAGG